GGGUCGGUGGCCGAGUGGUUAAAGGCGGCAGACUGUAAAUCUGCUAGUGUACGCUUACGGUGGUUCGAAUCCAUCCCGGCCCA
rnacentral:tRNA from 2 species